UGCCCAGUAACGGCGAGUGAAGCGGCAAGAGCUCAAAUUUGAAAGCUGGCUCCUUCGGGGUCCGCAUUGUAAUUUGCAGAGGAUGCUUCGGGAGCGGUCCCCAUCUAAGUGCCCUGGAACGGGCUGUCAUAGAGGGUGAGAAUCCCGUAUGGGAUGGGGUGUCCGCGCCCGUGUGAAGCUCCUUCGACGAGUCGAGUUGUUUGGGAAUGCAGCUCUAAAUGGGUGGUAAAUUUCAUCUAAAGCUAAAUAUUGGCCGGAGACCGAUAGCGCACAAGUAGAGUGAUCGAAAGAUGAAAAGCACUUUGAAAAGAGAGUUAAAAAGCACGUGAAAUUGUUGAAAGGGAAGCGUUUGCGACCAGACUCGCCUACGGGGUUCAGCCUGCCUUCGGGCAGGUGUACUUCCCCGUGGGCGGGCCAGCGUCGGUUUGGGCGGCCGGUCAAAGGCCCUCGGAAUGUAACGCCUCUCGGGGCGUCUUAUAGCCGAGGGUGCCAUGCGGCCUGCCCGGACCGAGGAACGCGCUUCGGCUCGGACGCUGGCUUAAUGGUCGUAAACGACCCGUCUUGAAACACGGACCAAGGAGUCUAACAUCUAUGCGAGUGUUCGGGUGUCAAACCCGUGCGCGCAGUGAAAGCGAACGGAGGUGGGAACCCUUACGGGUGCACCAUCGACCGAUCCUGAAGUCUUCGGAUGGAUUUGAGUAAGAGCAUAGCUGUUGGGACCCGAAAGAUGGUGAACUAUGCCUGAAUAGGGCGAAGCCAGAGGAAACUCUGGUGGAGGCUCGCAGCGGUUCUGACGUGCAAAUCGAUCGUCAAAUUUGGGUAUA
rnacentral:rRNA from 1 species